UACGUAGGUGGCGAGCGUUGUCCGGAUUUACUGGGCGUAAAGAGCGCGCAGGCGGUCGUUCAAGUCGCGUGUGAAAGCCCCCGGCUCAACUGGGGAGGGUCACGCGAUACUGAUCGACUCGAAGGCAGGAGAGGGAAGUGGAAUUCCCGGUGUAGUGGUGAAAUGCGUAGAUAUCGGGAGGAACACCAAUGGCGAAGGCAGCUCGCUGGGACGUGACUGACGCUGAGACGCGAAAGCGUGGGGAGCAAACAGG
rnacentral:rRNA from 1 species